ACAAACAAAGAUGUUGUGUCCGCCGAGAACUAAAAAAUAAAUAUUAAAAAAAAAAUUCUCUCUCUCUCUCUCUGUCUCUCUUUAAAAAAAAAAAAGAGAGAGAGAGUCAGAGAACUUUUUUUAAUAUUUAUUUUUUAGUUUUCGGCGGACACAACAUCUUUGUUUGUAUGUGGUGCUGAGGAUCGAACCCGGGCCGCACACAU
rnacentral:sRNA from 1 species